CCUACGGGAGGCAGCAGUGAGGAAUAUUGGUCAAUGGACGAGAGUCUGAACCAGCCAAGUAGCGUGAAGGAUGACUGCCCUAUGGGUUGUAAACUUCUUUUAUAUGGGAAUAAAACGUUCCACGUGUGGGAUUUUGUAUGUACCAUAUGAAUAAGGAUCGGCUAACUCCGUGCCAGCAGCCGCGGUAAUACGGAGGAUCCGAGCGUUAUCCGGCUUUAUUGGGUUUAAGGGGAGCGUAGGUGGAUUGUUAAGUCAGUUGUGAAAGUUUGCGGCUCAACCGUAAAAUUGCAGUUGAAACUGGCAGUCUUGAGUACAGUAGAGGUGGGCGGAAUUCGUGGUGUAGCGGUGAAAUGCUUAGAUAUCACGAAGAACUCCGAUUGCGAAGGCAGUUCACUGGACUGCAACUGACACUGAGGCUCGAAAGUGUGGGUAUCAAACAGGAUUAGAUACCCUUGUAGUC
rnacentral:rRNA from 1 species